GGGUACGCUACCAUGACGUACGAUUUCAAAGGAAAAUCUACUCUACAAACUGUUCUUAGAAAAGACAGUAAAUGCGAAAAAAGUAAAAAAUUUACAAAUAGACUAUUCUUAGAAAAACGAUAAAUGUAAAAAGUGGAAAGUAAAAAAUGCAAUGGUCUUCUCAUUUAUGGAAGAGAAAGAUUCCUUUUGCAAGCUUCAGAAUUACUAUUUAUAAUAAUGUCUUCUUAGCCCACAUUAUUGAUUGGAUUUAAUAGUGAGGAAAUGCUAUAGCCAUAAUUGCGUAAGUUACGCCCCACUUCUCAACCGUUCCGCCUAAUUUUUUU
rnacentral:lncRNA from 1 species